CCCCUCUUUGGGUCGCACCCGGAGAGUUUCCAGUCCUCUACCAGUCUUGGCUAUGGGAGGGAGAGUCAAGCAAAGGCCUACCCAUUCCAUUCCUAGCUUGGCCAGUGGCUAGUGAGUGGAAGGCAAUCUGCUACAAGU